AUGCAAGACUACUUCACGGACAAUCCAACAUAUCUGCCGCACCUCUUUCGGAGAAGGUACCGAAUGUGCCGAUCCCUCUUUGUAAAAAUAGUGCAAGAUUGCGAGGCCAAUUGUCAGUAUUUUACUCAAAGAAGAAAUGUCGCGGGCUUGAAGGGAUUUAGUGCA
rnacentral:rRNA from 1 species